rnacentral:lncRNA from 1 species
GGAGGGCUCGGGGACUGGGGUCCCUGCUCCCGAGGAGGGUGCACAGCUGGGGGGGACGCAGGCAGAGGAUCCACCUCUCGAGGGGGUGCACAGCGGGGGAAAUGGGGUGGGCGCAGGCGGUGGGUCCCGGUCCCGCGGUGGGGUGCAGGCAGCCCCCCCAAGAGCUGCGGGGACGGUGUCCAGCGGAACAAGGGGGUUCCCUGUUUGCCGGAGGCUCAGAGCCCCGGCUGCAGCUCCAAGCACUCACCUGAGCCCGGCAGGGCAGAGUCCCCAGCAAAGUUGGGCUCCAGCUCCUCCCGCGGCUGCGCGCAGACUCAGCGCGGCGCCGGUGCAGCCCACAGCCCUAGCCUGGGAAGCUGCCGACCCCGCCCCCCUCUCCCUGCCCGGCCCCCGCCGCGGCUGCAGCCAGCCGGCGCCUCGCGCAGGGGUAGCCCGCCUGCCACUCACCGCGCUCGCGCCCCCCCGCUCCCCAGGAAAGCCGCCCGGGGAGCUGCUUUGUCCCGGCGCUGGCUGGGGAGCAGCAGGGUGGGUGGGACCUUGCAGAGCCAGUGCGGCGGGGCCCGGGCUUGGGGCGGGGCGGGCAGAGUUGCGCUGCGUGUUUUCCUGCAGCGAGAGAGGGAGGCGGCUGGAGGUUACUGCACUUGCUGGGCCUUGAGAGCGGGCCUGGGAACCGCUGGGGGCAGGGCAAGGGCCGGGGGCGGGACAGAUGGGGCUGUGCAACGUGACCUGCCAAGGGCAGCCCUUGGCACAACAGGUCCUCACUCACCCCGGGCCUCCCCCUCCGCGCCCACACGCUGGAAUCAGAGGCGUUACCGCGCUGCAAGACUACGGGAGCGAAGUCCGGCCCCUGGUUGCAAAGGAAGACGGUGGAGUUUACAUGCGCCCGGAGUUGAGCCUGCAGAGAUUCCGUGUGGCGCUGAAGUGCCUCCCCGAGAGAGGGCUGAACAUCUGCCAAGAAAGCCCGGAGCCCAGCUUUCACAGUACUUAAUAACUACCAUCAACUGGGGAUCCUAG